AGAGUUUGAUCAUGGCUCAGAUUGAACGCUGGCGGUAUGCUUAACACAUGCAAGUCGAACGGAAACGAUGGUAGCUUGCUACCAGGCGUCGAGUGGCGGACGGGGGAGUAACGCGUAGGAAUCUGCCCAGUAGUGGGGGACAACCAGGGGAAACCCUGGCUAAUACCGCAUACACCCUACGGGGAAAAGAGGGCCUCUUCUUGAAAGCUCUUGCUAUUGGAUGAGCCUGCGUGAGAUUAGCUAGUUGGUGAGGUAAAAGCUCACCAAGGCGACGAUCUCUAGCUGGUCUGAGAGGACGAUCAGCCACACUGGGACUGAGACACGGCCCAGACUCCUACGGGAGGCAGCAGUGGGGAAUAUUGGACAAUGGGCGCAAGCCUGAUCCAGCAAUACCGCGUGUGUGAAGAAGGCCUGAGGGUUGUAAAGCACUUUCAAUUGUGAAGAAAAGCCUGGGGUCAAUAACCCCGGGUCUUGACGUUAACUUUAGAAGAAGCACCGGCUAACUCUGUGCCAGCAGCCGCGGUAAUACAGAGGGUGCGAGCGUUAAUCGGAAUUACUGGGCGUAAAGCGUACGUAGGCGGUUUAGUAAGUCAGAUGUGAAAGCCCUGGGCUCAACCUGGGAAUUGCAUUUGAAACUGCUGAACUAGAGUGUGGUAGAGGGAAGUGGAAUUAGUGGUGUAGGGGUAAAAUCCGUAGAUAUCACUAGGAAUACCCAAAGCGAAGGCGAUCUCCUGGAACAUUACUGACGCUAAGGCGUGAAAGCGUGGGGAGCAAACGGGAUUAGAUACCCCGGUAGUCCACGCCCUAAACGAUGAACACUAGUCGUCGGGAUGCUUGUCAUCUCGGUGAUGCACUUAACAGAUUAAGUGUUCCGCCUGGGGAGUACGGUCGCAAGAUUAAAACUCAAAGGAAUAGACGGGGACCCGCACAAGUGGUGGAGCAUGUGGUUUAAUUCGAAAAUACGCGAAGAACCUUACCUAGCCUUGACAUUGAUUGAACGGACCAGAGAUGGACCGGUGCCCUUCGGGGAACAUGAAAACAGGUGCUGCACGGCUGUCGUCAGCUCGUGUCGUGAGAUGUUGGGUUAAGUCCCGCAACGAGCGCAACCCUCGUCCUUAGUUGCCAGCAGGUUAAGCUGGGCACUCUAAGGAGACUGCCUUCGUAAGGAGGAGGAAGGUGAGGACGACGUCAAGUCAUCAUGGCCCUUAUGGCUAGGGCUACACACGUGCUACAAUGGGGCGUACAGAGAGUUGCGAUACCGCGAGGUGGAGCGAAUCCCACAAAGCUUGUCGUAGUCCGGAUCGGAGUCUGCAACUCGACUCCGUGAAGUCGGAAUCGCUAGUAAUCGUAGAUCAGAAUGCUACGGUGAAUACGUUCCCGGGCCUUGUACACACCGCCCGUCACACCAUGGGAGUGGGUUGCAAAAGAAGUAGCUAGUCUAACCUUCGGGAGGACGGUUACCACUUUGUGAUUCAUGACUGGGGUGAAGUCGUAACAAGGUAACC
rnacentral:rRNA from 1 species